GGUUACACAGCUGUAUGUACUCUUUGAAGCGAAGAUCACUACUUAUUCGAACACUCCUGUGUAGGGCAGCUUAAAUAAAAAAUGCAUGAGGUCCAAACAGAUUGCUGCGCUGGCAUCGACAAAACCGCACUAAAAUGCGCACACCAUCGCGUUCCAAUCUCUCAGAACUGAAGUUGGCUUGCAAAUGUCUAAUGGUCAACAAUGCUACGCACAGCUGUUAAGUCUUUUUGAAAGCAGAAUAUUGUGCGAAUCUCAACUUUCCAGUUUCUUCUCUCGACCCGGACUCACUUGUUUUGUUGUCGCUGUCAAGCUGGUUGUUGCUGAGUCUUGUCUCGAACAGGCACAGCCCGCGACGCCAUGUCGUUGCUCCGCCGCCCCUCCGCCGACAGCCCGAUCCGCAACGAUCGUUAAUGUCAAAGAGUCUGUCCAACUCCCGUACCGGCAGCACGCAGACAAGCCAAGAGCGUGCACAGGUAGUUACCAGCUCUUAGGACGAUAAAGCGAAGGCGUAGGUGCUCUUAGGGAGCCAGCUGCGCUCUUAAAGUAAAAACUUCAGCACUUUUGAGUUUGCCCAUCGUACCCUAGUAAAAUUGACAAGUUUGAGAUUAGCCGAUCGGUUCUGCUGGAUAAAUGGAUCAAAGGAGAUUGAAAUGAAAAAGCCUUAGUUGACUGGGUUGUUGGCGAAUUUAAAUUAAAUGAUAUUACUAUUGACGAGAAAGCUAAAAUCGCUAAGCAAAUCAGAAGCUUUCACCUAUAUAUAAUGAAAAAUCUGGCUAAAUGUAACCGUAAUUGAAGCAUUAAAAAAAAAAGCGAUGAUAGACUCGGAUUCGGAUCACGACGAUCCAUUUUCUAUGCAUUUGGACGUACAAAAUUUUUAUUAAUAUAGUUGUAUAAUUAUAUGUAUAUUAAAUAGAUACAUAAGAAAAAUGCAGCUUAAAUUUAUUAUAUUAAUUAAUAAAAAGAAAUAAUCAUGCCAAAUUUACUCCUUACCUUUAUAUCCUAAUAUGGGCGGUAUGGGUGGUCGUGGUCUUUACUUGAAAUUUGACGUACGUAUUGUAAAUGUCAGAUGCACAAUU